CUAGGUGAGGAGGGGCUCCCAGGAGUUUACAGCAACGGUUCCACUGAGGGCAGCACCCGGAAAAUUGACUGUUUCAGUGCACUCUCCAGUGGAAAUGUUUCCGACGCUGCAUCUGCUGUGGACUCUGCUGCUCCGUGUGACUGGUACUUUGGCUGUUCCUGUUCUCGAUCAGAGGCCGGUGUCCGGCCCACUCUCCGCCGGUCAGACCGCCCAAUUGAAGUGUGCGAUACAGAACGGUGAUGUGGGCAGCUACACUGUACGUUGGCACCGUCAGACUCCCGGAGAAGACCCGGUGUGGGUGAUCACGCAUGAAAGUGACAAUGACAUUUUCAGACGCACCGGUUUCACGGACUGUUUCCAACCUUCUCGCGACACUUCCAAUAAUAGCUUCAUCCUAACCAUCGGAAACCUAGUCUCCGGUGACUCAGCCGUCUAUUACUGUCAAGUCUGGGCUGACUCAGCUGGCUACAUCUUUGCAGGUGGAACCGCCCUGACUGUUCAAAGUAGUGGAUGAUCGGAAACCAUCUGUCCUUCUGCUCCCCCCCCCCCCCUUCGCCAGAACAAACAGACACAGGAUCAGGCACCAUUUCCUGUCUGGUGAGUCGCUUCAA